rnacentral:rRNA from 1 species
UACGUAGGGGGCAAGCGUUGUCCGGAUUUAUUGGGCGUAAAGAGCGUGUAGGCGGCCAGACAGGUCCGCUGUGAAAACUCGAGGCUCAACCUCGAGAUGUCGGUGGAAACCGUCUGGCUAGAGUCCGGAAGAGGAGAAUGGAAUUCCCGGUGUAGCGGUGAAAUGCGCAGAUAUCGGGAAGAACACCCGUGGCGAAGGCGGUUCUCUGGGACGGUACUGACGCUGAGACGCGAAAGCGUGGGGAGCGAACAGG